AGUGAACGCUGGCGGCAGGCCUAAAUACAUGCAAGUCGAACGGCAGCACAGCAGAGCUUGCUCUGUGGGUGGCGAGUGGCGGACGGGUGAGGAAUACGUGGGAAUCUGCCCAGUCGUGGGGGAUAACGUAGGGAAACUUACGCUAAUACCGCAUGCGCCCUUCGGGGGAAAGCCGGGGACCUUCGGGCCUGGCGCGAUUGGAUGAGCCACGUCGGAUUAGCUAGUUGGCGGGGUAAAAGGCCCACCAAGGCGACGAUCCGUAGCUGGUCUGAGAGGAUGAUCAGCCACACUGGAACUGAGACACGGUCCAGACUCCUACGGGAGGCAGCAGUAGGGAAUAUUGGACAAUGGGCGCAAGCCUGAUCCAGCCAUGCCGCGUGAGUGAAGAAGGCCCUCGGGUUGUAAACUGCUUUUGUACGGAGCGAAAAGGCUCUCUCUAAUUACCAGGACGGGCUCAUGACGGUACCGUAACGAAUAAGCACCGGCUAACUACGUG
rnacentral:rRNA from 1 species